UCCGUAGGCGGUGUGGCAAGUCGGAAGUGAAAUCUCUGGGCUUAACUCAGAGGCUGCUUCCGAAACUGCCGUGCUCGAGUGCGAGAGAGGCAAGUGGAAUUGCGGGUGUAGCGGUGAAAUGCGUAGAUAUCCGCAGGAACAUCCGAGGCGAAAGCGGCUUGCUGGAUCGCAACUGACGCUGAGGGACGAAAGCUAGGGGAGCAAACA
rnacentral:rRNA from 1 species